CAGCUGACUAGACCUGACUGUCCAUGAUCCUUCCCUCCAGGACCUGGAAGUCUGCACAGUUGGCACACAGAGCUGGGCUUCUCACCUGGGCUCCUUGGGAUGCUGCUCUGGGAAAGUUCCUUCCUCUGGCCGACCCCAGUUUCCUUCUUAGACUUUUUGCAGUACAAACCAGUGGAACAUAUCACCUGGUGGCAGGAUGAGUGAAAGGUGUUGAAG
rnacentral:lncRNA from 10 species